GCCUCCGUGGUGUAACGAUAGCGCGUUUGACUCAAAUUUAAGAGGUCCAGGUUCGAUUCCUGGCAAGGACA
rnacentral:tRNA from 1 species